CGAACGCUGGCGGAGUGCUUAAUACAUGCAAGUCGUGCGAGAAAGUUACCUUCGGGUGGCGAGUAUAGCGGCGAACGGGUGAGUAACACGUAAGCAACCUGCCUCUUAAUCUGGAAUAACCUUGCUAACGCGGGGCUAAUACCGGAUAACAUCCUUUAGUCGCAUGGUUGAAGGAUUAAAGGUGGCCUCUUCUUGAAAGCUACUGUUAAGAGAUGGGCUUGCGGACCAUUAGUUUGUUGGUAGGGUAAUGGCCUACCAAGACUACGAUGGUUAGCCGACCUGAGAGGGUGAUCGGCCACAUUGGGACUGAGAUACGGCCCAGACUCCUACGGGAGGCAGCAGUAGGGAAUAUUGCGCAAUGGACGAAAGUCUGACGCAGCAACUCCGCGUGAGGGAUGACGGCCUUCGGGUUGUAAACCUCUGUUGUAUAGGAAGAAACCUCUGUGUGCUAAUAUCACAUGGAACUGACGGUACUAUACAAGAAAGCUCCGGCUAACUACGUGCCAGCCCGCGGUAAUACGUAGGGAGCAAGCGUUGUUCGGAAUCACUGGGCGUAAAGAGAGCGUAGGCUGGAUUGCAAGUUAGAAGUGAAAUUUACGGGCUUAACCCGUGACCUGCUUUUAAUACUGCUUUUCUUGAGUAUGGUAGAGGAUACGGAAUUCCAGGUGUUGCGGUGGAAUGCGUAGAUAUCUGGAAGAACACCAGUUGUGAAGGCGGUCUUCUGGCCCAAUACUGACGCUGAGGCUCGAAAGCUAGGGGAGCGAACAGGAUUAGAUACCCUGGUAGUCCUAGCCGUAAACGAUGGAUACUAGAUGUUGGGGGCGCUUCAAUUAUUAGCCCUCAGUGUCGCAGCUAACGCAUUAAGUAUCCCGCCUGGGGAGUACGCUCGCAAGAGUGAAACUCAAAGGAAUUGACGGGGGCCCGCACAAGCGGUGGAGCAUGUGCUUUAAUUCGAUGCAACGCGAAGAACCUUACCUGGCCUUGACAUGGGAGUGAAACCUUCUAGAGAUAGAAGUCCUUCCUUCGGGAACACUCUACACAGGUGCUGCAUGGUUGUCGUCAGCUCGUGUCGUGAGAUGUUGGGUUAAGUCCCGCAACGAGCGCAACCCCUGUCCUUAGUUGCCAUCAGGUAGUGCUGGGAACUCUAAGGAGACCGCCUGGACAAACCAGGAGGAGGGUGGGGAUGACGUCAAAUCCUCAUGGCCCUUACGGCCAGGGCUAGACACGUGCUACAAUGGGUGGUACAGUGGGAUGCAAGACCGCGAGGUGGAGCUAAUCCCUUAAAACCAUUCUCAGUUCGGAUUGGAGUCUGCAAUUCGACUCCAUGAAGGUGGAAUCGCUAGUAAUCGCGGAUCAGCAUGCCGCGGUGAAUCCGUUCCCGGGCCUUGUACACACCGCCCGUCAAGCCAUGAAAGACGGUAGUGCCCGAAGUCGUUGAUCCAACCCUUUAUUGGGAGGUAUACGCCUAAGGUAAGACUGUUGAUUGGGGCUAAGUCGUAACAAGGUA
rnacentral:rRNA from 1 species